GCGCCCGUAGCUCAGUUGGAUAGAGCGCCGGACUUCGAAUCCGUAGGCCGCAGGUUCGAGCCCUGCCGGGCGCGCCA
rnacentral:tRNA from 1 species